AAAUAAGAAGCAAAAAAAAAUUGCAAUUAGUUUCGACCUAAUAAUUUGAUAAAAUUUAUCCUUAUUUU
rnacentral:tRNA from 1 species